GGCUCGCUGCUCUAGGGGUGUGAUUUUCGCCUAGCGUGUGAGAGGUCUUGGGUUCGAAUCCCAGACAAGCCC